AAUGAAAUGAAAUGGGGUUUAACGUCCUACUCUUCUGCACCUAACCUGGGCUAAUUGAAGACGGGCAUACGCCAUACAGUGUGCUAUGAGGGAAAUUUUGCCCGGGCAGCGGCGCUACGGCCUACUCUUAUAUCGAAUUCCAACUCCCAAGGGAUUUUUUACGUGCACGUCAAUGUGUACACGGGACCUCGGUUUGUCGUCACAUCCGAACGACUAGGCAGCUGUCCUUGUCAGGCCCUCCGUUCUGCAUCACUGACAAGGGGAAGGAUUAUCUUGGAACUUUGCAUAUUUAUUCCUUAUACCGUAAAGACAGCAACUAUUUAUUUUUUUCUGUAAAUUUGCCAAAACAAACCCAACGCCUAGACCUCUUUUCCUCUUUUCAUAUUACAGCCAUUUUAUAUUUCUUUCUCUUCAUUUUAAAAAGUACCAUAUCUAUGAAAGCUGUAAUGUGGACGUAUAUUGCAGCGGUACCGAUGCUCUAGUUGUAGUAGGCUGUUAAAUCCAAUUUCAUUUCAUUUCAGUUUAUAUGAAAACCAAAAAUCGCCGUCCUAAUAAUCCCUCGGGCUGGAAGUAAGGACAUCUUGAUAAAGCAAUCGAGUAACCCGAAUUAAUUAAGAGAGAAAUGGGUUUUAGCGUCCACUUGACAUAAAUUAGGUCAUUUCGGGACUAACAUAUGGUUCAGUUUCAUUUCAAUAAUUCGCUACGGCUUUUUAACAGUUGGGGGAAACCGGUGGACCCGGAGAAAAGGUAGAAGGUAGGACAGGCGACCACAACUCAAUGACAAACCUUAUGAUGCAACGCGCACGCGAUAACCAUUCCUCCAGUGGGGGGAAACCGUAUGAUGCAACGCGUUAAUCAUUCGCCCCCCCCCCCCCCCAAAGAACCAAUGCAUCUUUCCGUCAACCAAACAAACUUUAUUAUUGUUCUUUAUGUUUUAUCUGAGAGCUUUCCAGUUUUAGAAUGGAUGAGACCAAUGUACCACGAGAUGACAAACCGGCUAAAAGAGAAAGUUCAAACGGGAGUGAUGGUGAAAUGGAACACCUGAUACCAACUAAAAUAGUAAAAUUAUCUGAUGAAAGUGAAAGUGGGAAUAUCGAACCAAAACAUGAACUCCAGAAGAUACAGGAAAGAUUAUCUCAAGCUGUUGAUGACGUCAACAUUGAUCUAACGGAGACCAUAUUAAACGAACUACAGCCAGAUGACGUCAGAAGACUACAAGACGUCAUUAUAAGUUUAACCUGUCAAUCAUUAGAGAGAAGAUAUUUAUCACUUGUUAAGUGUUUAUUUAAUAAUAUUAUAAUAUUACAAUCUGAUGGUCAACUUGAUAUUAAUUUAAAUAUACAGUUAAUGACAUAUGCUAUAAAAUCAGAUUUUGUUGAAGGUAUUCAGUAUCUCUAUAGUAAGAAAU